rnacentral:rRNA from 1 species
AGUGAAUAGAUACCCAGGUAGUCCCAGCCGUAAACGAUGCUCGCUAGGUGUCAGGCAUGGCGCGACCGUGUCUGGUGCCGCAGGGAAGCCGUGAAGCGAGCCACCUGGGAAGUACGGCCGCAAGGCUGAAACUUAAAGGAAUUGGCGGGGGAGCACAACAACGGGUGGAGCCUGCGGUUUAAUUGGACUCAACGCCGGACAACUCACCGGGGGCGACAGCAAUAUGUAGGCCAAGCUGAAGACUUUGCCUGAAUCGCUGAGAGGAGGUGCAUGGCCGUCGCCAGUUCGUACUGUGAAGCAUCCUGUUAAGUCAGGCAACGAGCGAGACCCGUGCCCACUGUUACCAGCAUGUCCUUUGGGAUGAUGGGUACUCUGUGGGGACCGCCGGUGUCAAAUCGGAGGAAGGUGCGGGCCACGGUAGGUCAGUAUGCCCCGAAUCUCCCGGGCUACACGCGGGCUACAAUGAAUGGGACAAUGGGUCCCUUCCCUGAAAAGGGUUGGUAAUCUCACAAACCCAUCCUUAGUUCGGAUUGAGGGCU